GCCUACCCGCAGGAUGCAACCUGUCGUGGCUGCUUCGUUGGGCGAGAACAGAGCGUGGCUUCCACGGCUUAAUGACUUUGUAUUGCUGCUUGGCCCAGCUCGUCUGCGACUGCGAAGAGAGAGAGAGAGAGAGAGAGAGAGAGAAUCCCAAGCAGGCUCUGCGCUGUUGACCCAACACGGAGCUCAAUCUCAUGAACGAUUCAUGCCAUUGAGACACGUAAUCACUGAAAUCCUUGGACCCUGAGAAUAUUUAGAUGAUGGGCUCCCAGUGCCCGUUGGUAUGAUAUUUUUAUUCUUGGGACUUGGGUAUGUGGUUUCCACAGGGAGUAAUAUCUGUACCCUCCCUUUUGGAGCAAUAGAAUCACUCACUCCCCAGUCUCCUAAUUAUGGAUGUAAAUUGUGAGCACAUUAUAAUUAGCAUAACGCGUGGAAAGGUAUCUCAUUAUAAUUUUUUAAAGUUCUAUGCACAGCUGUAAGCAAAAUCCGAAAUGAGCAUCGUGGGAGACGUGUGUUGGGGUAUCGGCUGAUACCGUGGUCAUCAGGUUCAUUGCCUAGCUCUGCUACUAAGUGAGUGGUCUUGGGCAGGCGACUCUGGCUCUCAGUUUCUUUGCCCAGAAGAUGGCAAUGACAGUGAUCCCUUCUCAUCAGGUUGUUGUGAGAAUCGAACAGAUGAAUAAACACAAAGUUGUCAACAACGGUGCCUGGCACAGAGAAUGAACCCAGUGAAUGUCCGCUCUCCUCAGCCCCUUCACACCAUGCCUGGGGACCCAGAUUUUCAGACAUAAUCCGCAUAAAGGGGAAUCUGCGGAUUGAAACAAUCCACAGCCUCCUUUCAUUCAGUGCGGGCCGCCCUGGAUGGAAGGAGAGCCGUGGCGCAAAUCGCCUCCCUGACCAAACCUGAAAACCUCUCUCUCCUCCCCGGGGGUGUGUAAGGGGGAGUUGGGGUGAAGACAGCUACUCCCUCCCACUUCUGCAUCUGAAAAAACAAGACUAGGAAAAUCUACCCGAAUGGUUUCUGACAGCCCUAGGAGUAUGAUAAAAGGCUUCUUUUUUCUUAAAAGAAAAAUCACUUUUAAUCACUCAGUGUCAGGAGCCGGGAACUUUCUGUUGUGAAAUAACCAGAGCUCCCGCUUCCUUUGCUCCCCCUGCAGAGCCCCGGGUGGGAGGAGGCGAGGGCGUCUGGGCAGAGCCCUUGAAACUCAAGGGCAAGGGAGGGCCCGGAAGGUCCAGGGUUUCCUGAUCUCCAGGGCUGCAGACGACAGCUGGGCUUUCCAGGAAUUCGGUCCUGCAAAGCAGGGAGGGUCCUCAUGUCUGUACUCGAGAUUCCCGGUGUGCUGGCUCACCAGGUGCACCUGUGGCAAACCUCGUGGGGGGCAAAAGCUGGUUUCCCAGCCCAGUUUCCACCCUUUUCUCCCAGCACACCCCCCCUCCGCCCCCACACACCCUCAGGUUCAUCAGAGCCUGCUCUCUGGAGGCCCAUUAAUUCCAAAGCCUUCUUUCUAGAAUGAUGAACUCUUCAG